rnacentral:rRNA from 1 species
AUGGAGGUUGUGAGGGACGGUGGUUUUGGAUACUUGCUUGAGCUAGAUGAUUGUUAUGUUCCACGACCAUUCGCACAGUGGGUCGCGGACAACAUAUCCACAAAAGAUGAAACAAUUGUACUUGACGGGAAAUCAAUUGCUCUCAACCCUGAAGCCGUAUCAUUAGUUCUUGGUAUACCAGCAGGCGGAACAAAGAUCAGAGUGCUAGACGAGGAGUGUGGGAAAGCAGAGUUCCUAUCACUGUUUGGGCUAACAGAACUUCCAUCCAUAAGUUUCUUUGGGAACAAGCUUAGGAACGAAGAACUGCCUGACGAUGUUUAUCUUCGGUGCUUCUUGACUGUCGCACUAGCAACCUUCCUGUGUCCCACAUCCAGCACAAAGCCAAGCACCAAAUAUUUGGGAGCACUUGUGGAUGUGUCAAAGUCAAAAGAUCUUGAUUGGUGCUCUUUUGUCCAUACAUGGAAUAUCUCCUAUGUCAAGAAGUACCAAACAGACAAGAUGAAGCAGAAACGGAUAACAACCACUUUGGGAGGCUGCAUUUAUCAGCUAGCAGUUCGGUGUCUAGACUUCAACAAUUUUGGAUCAAUAACAAUUCCACCAGCACUACCCAGGGUUUGUUUCUGGAAAGGACAAACCAUUAAACAUUUCAGUGAUAUGCUAAUUGGGAAAGAUGGAUUAUAUGGAGCUCUUCAAAUAAAAGAUGAGGCAGAAACUUGUUAUGCAGAAACUGACGGUGCAUGGGCAAGCACCGCCAAGAACUCAAACAUUCGAAAAGCUAUACAAAGGGUCUUAGGCAACUCUUUUUCAGAUAAGAUCAAAGAAGAUAUAUUCCUCAAUUUCCAGGAGCGCGUAAAAGAUCAAAACCUGACGACAUGUCUGAUAGCAAAACAAGUGCUGCUGGAUACUUUGAACAUUGUCUCUUCUUCUUUUAAUGGCUCUCAACAUACAGAGAAGUUAGAGUCAUCCGAGCACUUGUACAUGCCAUACAGAGAAGUUAGAGUUGAUUCUAAUGGGAUUGAAAUUGGCAGUGAUCGAAGAGGCAGGAAGAAGAGAAUGAAGACGAGUACACAGCAGUCAAUAACUUCAACAAGUAAGGAUGUAUUGUUGCAAGAUAAAAUAAAGCAAAGCACACCUGAAGUUGACACACAAGGAGUCAAAGCUGAAUUGUAA